AGUCGUACGCUUCUUUUUCCACCGGAGCUUGCUCCACCGGAAAAAGAAGAGUGGCGAACGGGUGAGUAACACGUGGGUAACCUGCCCAUCAGAAGGGGAUAACACUUGGAAACAGGUGCUAAUACCGUAUAACAAUCGAAACCGCAUGGUUUUGAUUUGAAAGGCGCUUUCGGGUGUCGCUGAUGGAUGGACCCGCGGUGCAUUAGCUAGUUGGUGAGGUAACGGCUCACCAAGGCCACGAUGCAUAGCCGACCUGAGAGGGUGAUCGGCCACAUUGGGACUGAGACACGGCCCAAACUCCUACGGGAGGCAGCAGUAGGGAAUCUUCGGCAAUGGACGAAAGUCUGACCGAGCAACGCCGCGUGAGUGAAGAAGGUUUUCGGAUCGUAAAACUCUGUUGUUAGAGAAGAACAAGGAUGAGAGUAACUGUUCAUCCCUUGACGGUAUCUAACCAGAAAGCCACGGCUAACUACGUGCCAGCAGCCGCGGUAAUACGUAGGUGGCAAGCGUUGUCCGGAUUUAUUGGGCGUAAAGCGAGCGCAGGCGGUUUCUUAAGUCUGAUGUGAAAGCCCCCGGCUCAACCGGGGAGGGUCAUUGGAAACUGGGAGACUUGAGUGCAGAAGAGGAGAGUGGAAUUCCAUGUGUAGCGGUGAAAUGCGUAGAUAUAUGGAGGAACACCAGUGGCGAAGGCGGCUCUCUGGUCUGUAACUGACGCUGAGGCUCGAAAGCGUGGGGAGCAAACAGGAUUAGAUACCCUGGUAGUCCACGCCGUAAACGAUGAGUGCUAAGUGUUGGAGGGUUUCCGCCCUUCAGUGCUGCAGCUAACGCAUUAAGCACUCCGCCUGGGGAGUACGACCGCAAGGUUGAAACUCAAAGGAAUUGACGGGGGCCCGCACAAGCGGUGGAGCAUGUGGUUUAAUUCGAAGCAACGCGAAGAACCUUACCAGGUCUUGACAUCCUUUGACCACUCUAGAGAUAGAGCUUCCCCUUCGGGGGCAAGUGACAGGUGGUGCAUGGUUGUCGUCAGCUCGUGUCGUGAGAUGUUGGGUUAGUCCCGCAACGAGCGCACCCUUAUUGUUAUUGCCAUCAUU
rnacentral:rRNA from 1 species